AAUGGGGACAAGCUCACUGCGGCUGCAAGGGGACCUGGGAAUACAGGGAGCAACACUGGGUGGCAGCUGCCCUUUAAAAGCAGCUCUAGAAAUCUGGACCGAGCUGUGAACAGGCAUCCAGGGUGCCGCGGGGAGUGAAUGAAACGCCGAAGAAGAGACAUCUCAGAAGGGCUGUAAAAGGAAAAGAGAAGGGAGGCUGAGGAGGGCGGAGCACUUGAGGUCAGGAGUUCAAGACCAUCCUGGCCAACAUGGUGAAACCCCGUCUCUACUAAAAAUACAAAAAUUAGCCGGGUGUGGUGGCACGUGCCUGUAAUCUCAGCUACUCAGGAGGCUGAGGCAGGGAGAAUAGCUUGAACUCAGGAGGUGGAGGUUGCAGUGAGCCAAGAUCGUGCCACUGCACUCCAGCCUGAGUGACAGAGCGAGACUGACUCAAGAAAAAAAAAAAAGAAGGAAAAGAGAAUCCUUAGGAAAGAGAAUGGGACUGCAAAGGCAGGAGAAAACAGGGUCUCCUUCCCCACAACACACAUGGCCAAGCAGAGCCCACAGUCUAUACAACUGAGGUGGGAGCUGGGUGGGGCCUUCUGCUGUCACCUGUCAUGGUCAUAACAGGAAUCGCAGUUACCAGAGCCCCUGUGGAUGUCCCAGGCACCCCUUAAGCCAAGUGGUUUAUACCAAUUAUGUUGGAUUGAUUUCAUCUGUAAUCUUCAUACCUGUCCUGGGAGGAAAAUGCCAUCAUGAUCCACCUUUUACAAAUGUCAAAAGCAAGGCACAGAGAAGUUAAGAAACAUAUCCCAGGUCACACAGCUCAAAGAUGGAGCUGGGAUUUGAGCCUGGGCAGGGUGAUGCCAGAGUCCACCUGCUCGACUGCCCUGGAUCUGCCCCAGCCGCCUUCAGAGAACGGGUGCUGAUGGCCCCCUCGGCUCUAGGUCUCAGUGGAAAACCACCCUUGGCCAUUUGGUGUUUAACUCCCAGAUUCCACUCUGUCCUCUGUUGCGGCUGGGAUCAGGGCU
rnacentral:lncRNA from 1 species